UCACUCAUUAGUCAAUUAUUACUUAAAGAGCUUCAGUUGUACGUAGCGAGCCCCAAAUGAAUUGCGAGAAAUACGGUUUUUCUGUUUAUCUCACUUAAUUUACACUCAUGAACUUCACUCUCACCCCAUACCUUGAUUGAAGAUUGCACGCAAACUUAGAGAAGAUAGAGAUCUUCACUACAACAACCAACUCGAAUAAACUUAUUGAAUGUGUGUCUCGCCUUCGUAAAUCGUUGUCUUUAAUAGCCCACAAAGACAAUCGAGCAAACAUAACAAACCAAUAAAAAUAAUUUAUUUACAACUCAUAAUAUAGUCUCAAACAUUUCUUUUAUAAUAUAUAAAUUUGUAUAUGUAUAUCUACAUAUAUUGAAUCAUUAAAUAUUUGACAUAAAUAAUAGUUAUAGUAUUUAAAUAAUAAUAAAAACAUCUAACUUAUUAAAAUAAUUGAAACAAAUUAUAUAUUUUCAAAUUUAACAACAGAAAUUAUGAAUACGAAGAAACUAAAUAAUAUGCCUAAAUUUAGCUACUUCAACCAGAUUGCACGUAGAGAGACUAAAAUUCUUUAUGUAGAAUUAGUUGAUAUAUAUAUAUAUAUAUAUAUAUAUAUAUAUAUAUAUAUAUAUAUGAUUGAAAUUAUAAUUUAAAACAUAAUUAUUAUUAUUUUUUAAUGUAAAACAUAAAUAACAAAAAAAAUAUUAAGAGUACAGAAAGUGUGUAAAAAGACGCAAAAAGGCAAGUAAAAAAUUAUCUUACCAACAUAAUCAAAUCGAAACAGUGCCGAGUGUAACAACGACACAUAACGCGGCGAAGAAGGAUUUUCGUGAUCCUUGGCAAAACUGAAAUACGACGGAUAUAGGAUGAAGGGUUUGAUGUGUGGAUCACGAAACUAUUGUUUUCGACAACCACUGUGUUGAUCGGAAUCGGGGUCCAAAGUCGGUAGUCCGAUUUGGUCGUUGUUUCAAUUGUGAUUGUUCACGAAAAUAAAGAAUUGAGCAUUGAGUUUGAAUAUAUGGUAGUUACAGCUCACAACGACGCUAGCAAAAGCCACCGAAUGAGGCUUCGCGACGGUGUUGAUGACGGAGGAGAAUGAGUCGAGACUUUGUGAUCACGAGAGACAUAUGAAAUUGAUUUUAUGAAGGGGAUAUUGGUGAGAGUUAUGAUCGUUUAAAUAGUUCAUCAAACUGAAGAAGUGAUGGAUGAAUGUGAGAAUUGCAGUGGCGGCGGCAUCUAGCGUGGAAGAAGAUUGCAUCUGGAAGAAGGUUGCGAUGCAGAUUUUUAAUUUGUGCAGAAGUGGUGGAGCUAGCAAUUAUCUAGGUGCCCAAAGUAGCAGAUUUAAAAUACCUAAAACAGAGUGGGUCAAAGUCCAUGUUGAAACAGUAAAUGGGGUGUAGCAAGUCUCUUGCAGCGUAAUAAAGGCUAAGAUAGAAUAGAAAAUAAG
rnacentral:lncRNA from 1 species